rnacentral:rRNA from 1 species
AUUAAAGAGUUCUAUAACUCCCAAACCCAUGUGAACAUACCUAACGUUGCCUCGGCAGGUCGCACCUACCUUGUAGCACCCUACCCUGUAGGGCCUACCCGGGAGGUGCGGGUAAGCCUGCCGGCGGCCCACCAAACUCUGUUUGAUAUUGAAUUCUGAACCUAUAACUAAAUAAGUUAAAACUUUCAACAACGGAUCUCUUGGUUCUGGCAUCGAUGAAGAACGCAGCGAAAUGCGAUAAGUAAUGUGAAUUGCAGAAUUCAGUGAAUCAUCGAAUCUUUGAACGCAUAUUGCGCCCAUUAGUAUUCUAGUGGGCAGGACCGUUCGAGCGUCAUUUCAACCCUUAAGCCUUCGUUGCUUAGUGUUGGGAGCCUACGGCAACGUAGCUCCUCAAAGUUAGUGGCGGAGUUGGUUCACACUCUAGACGUAGUAAUUUUUUAUCUCGCCUAUUAGUUGGACUAAUCCCCUGCCGUAAAACCCCUAAUUUAUCAAGGUUGACCUCGAAUCGGUUCAGACAAACUCGCUAAAUUGAAGCAUCUUAGUCAGCGAAGGAAAAGAAACCAACAGGGAUUGCCCUAGUAACGGCGAGUGAAGCGGCAACAGCUCAAAUUUGAAAUCUGGCCCUCGGGUC